ACCGGCGCCGCGCGCUGACGUAGCGCCCGGGCCGCGCCCGGCCCAGAGCGGGCCCCGGGUCACCCCGGCAGCGCUCACCCGGGACCGCCCCUGCGGGUCGCGACUUGGUCCCCCGAGUUCGGCGGGUCCCCGGGCCCAGCGGGCGCCCCCCGCACGGCUGGGGGAGGGGCCCCGGGCCGGCCUGGCCCCCAGGGGUGGCGGGCCCGCGUGUGAGAGUAGCCGCCUCCGGUAGGGCGAGCCGGGGUCCCGAUUUUAUAGACAGCCCCGAUAGCCGGGGCGUUUCCUUAGAGGGGCUCCUGUUACCCCCCCGGUUUGUCACACUUGCUGCCUGGUCACCCCGGCCUCAGGUAACUCUGAAGCAGCUGGGCACAAACCGGUUGUGAGUUUUAUGCUUCGGUUCCACCAACCCGCGUGUCAAGUGUAAAUGCCUCAAGACCUGUAACAGCCUUAACAUGGCCCCCGGGGGGGGGGUGCAGUGCCACCGUGCACGGGCAAAACUCGUGCCCCUGCCCCGGGGCAGAUCUCUUUGCUUCCCCGCAGAAAAUUCCAGGGAAGCCGCCACACAAGUGGUCACACCCCCUUCCCCGGCUGCACAGGUGCCUCCUUGCCGGUGCCCGGAGCAGCCGGCAGAGAGACUAACACGGCUGUUCCUCUGAAAGGUGGCAAGGGUGUCGCUCUGGCUCGCUGACUGCAGCUGGAUGCCACCUCCUGGGUCCCAGUGCGGGUCGGCCUCCGCUGGUGUGUGUGCUGGGUGCCCUGCGUGGAUUCCAUCCCGCUUUCUGUACAAUGAAGUGAAGAGGAGCUGGUGUGCCAGGAAGCUCAGAUGCACAAAAGGAUGCUGCUCCUUGUUCAUUCUACUAUGAGAGGCCUUUACCAGAUAACAUGAUGUCUCUCAUUUCCAUUUUGGUUUAUUAGGCUGACACACUCCUCCCCCAGGACAGCAUGGUACUAUAUUGUUCCUUUGGGUUAAGUUUUGCUUUGCCUACUGCUAUGAAACAUUUUCCUGUAUCUUAUACUGUGUUUGGUGGGUAACUAACUUACUGCUGUACGGGUAUGCUGGCUGAUUUUGACAUUACAUUUCAAAUCAGAAUUUUUAACUUUUAUUGAUCCCUAAUUCAAAAAAAUCCAACCCACAUUAUCCAUACAUUUUAAAAAUUGAAAUUUCAUCUCAUAGAACUAAUGCUUGGAAUUACAAACAAGUCUGAUUUCUCAAAAAAGGUAAAUGAACAGGAUUACAGAAGGAAACCAACAAUAAACUAUAUGUAUUGUAA